rnacentral:rRNA from 1 species
GACGAACGCUGGCGGCGUGCUUAACACAUGCAAGUCGAACGGAAAGGCCCUGCGUUUGUGGGGUUCUCGAGUGGCGAACGGGUGAGUAACACGUGAGUAACCUGCCCUUGAUUUUGGGAUAACUUCAGGAAACUGGGGCUACUACCGGAUAGGAGCUCCCGCUGCGUGGUGGGGGUUGGAAAGUUUCGGCGGUUGGGGAUGGACUCGCGGCUUAUCAGCUUGUUGGUGGGGUAGUGGCUUACCAAGGCUUUGACGGGUAGCCGGCCUGAGAGGGUGGCCGGCCACAUUGGGACUGAGGGACGGCCCAGCCUCCUACGGGAGGCAGCGGUGGGGAAUAUUGCACAAUGGGCGGAAGCCUGAUGCAGCCCCGCCGCGUGCGGGAUGCCGGCCUUCGGGUUGUAAACCGCUUUCGCCUGUGACGAAGCGUGAGUGACGGUAAUGGGUAAAGAAGCACCGGCUAACUACGUG